UACGUAGGGGGCAAGCGUUGUCCGGAAUCAUUGGGCGUAAAGAGCGCGUAGGCGGUCCGGUAAGUCCGCUCUGAAAGUCCGGGGCUCAACCCCGGGAGGCGGGCGGAUACUGUCGGGCUAGAGUCCGGAAGAGGCGAGUGGAAUUCCUGGUGUAGCGGUGAAAUGCGCAGAUAUCAGGAGGAACACCGAUGGCGAAGGCAGGUUCUUGGACAGAAGGUGACGCUGAGGCGCGAAAGUGUGGGGAGCAAACCGG
rnacentral:rRNA from 1 species